rnacentral:lncRNA from 1 species
GGCAGGGAAAGGUGAGGCUCUGGAACCCGGAGCCGGGGUGGCGCGGCCGGGGACGGGGAUGAGGGGCCGGCCGGGAGUCCGUCGCGCGGAGGGUCCCUGCGUCACCAAGUUGGGCUUUAAUGUCCCCAGGCUUCCCGAAGCUGCGGGCGCCGAUGGGCGAGCGGCGUCUGCGCGGGCGCAGAAGCCCUGAUCCCCUCCGCGGGCCUGACUUCGUCCGCGCGCUGCCGGCCCGACCCCGCUGUGCCCCCCUGCCCUUUACCUGGUCCUUCGCCGGGCCCGGCGCGGGGCGAGGGGCCCUCACCUGUGCUUCAGGCUGGGCACCGCGGACUGGGGGCGCGGGCGGGGAGGUGGGGGCGGUCGGAGGGAAUUGCUGGAGCUCGCGGCCUGAACAACAGCACACCCCGGGUUUCUUUCUAAAAACAGGGAAGCUUCUCUUUGGCUGGGCCAACCUCCCCUCCCCCGACCAGAUUUCCCUCUCUCCCGGGGUCAGUACGAGGGGAGAGUGCAGAGGCCGGGUCGUCUGCCGAGGUCGCCGGUUCUGUGAGAACUCCUGACCCACCGGAUGAAGAGUGUUUUCAAUGUGAAUGUAGCUGUUUUAGUCGUCAAGGUGUGUGCCUUCUGGAUGGAACAGACCAGGCUCUCAAAGCGCAUAUACAUAGACAAAAUGCAGAAGAUCUAGGCCAUUUACAUCUCGGACACCUGAAGACAAAUGGAGCAAGUUCCCUGGAAGAGCUUUGCUUUUUUAAGGUCAGAAUUCUAAAAAGAUGUUUUAUCAAACUGGCAUUCUCCCACUUAACUGUAUAUGUAAUAAAAGAGCCCCAUCUUAGUGAUUUUCAGGGCA